AAAGCAUUCUCUGGUGUUGAAGGCCCUGCAAAGCAGCAUCGCGGUGGCGGAGCGUCGUUUGCGACGCCCAACACACAAAACAAGCGGUGAGUGCUUUGGGGUGGGGUGACUGCGUACCUUUUGUAUAAUGGGUCAGCGACUUAUAUUCUGUAGCAAGGUUAACCGAAUAGGGGAGCCGGAGGGAAACCGAGUCUUAAUUGGGCGUUAAGUUGCAGGGUAUAGACCCGAAACCCGGUGAUCUAGCCAUGGGCAGGUUGAAGGUUGGGUAACACUAACUGGAGGACCGAACCGACUAAUGUUGAAAAAUUAGCGGAUGACCUGUGGCUGGGGGUGAAAGGCCAAUCAAACCGGGAGAUAGCUGGUUCUCCCCGAAAGCUAUUUAGGUAGCGCCUCGUGAACUCAUCUCCGGGGGUAGAGCACUGUUUCGGCUAGGGGGCCAUCCCGGCUUACCAACCCGAUGCAAACUGCGAAUACCGGAGAAUGUUAUCACGGGAGACACACGGCGGGUGCUAACGUCCGUCGUGAAGAGGGAAACAACCCAGACCGCCAGCUAAGGUCCCAAAGUCAUGGUUAAGUGGGAAACGAUGUGGGAAGGCCCAGACAGCCAGGAUGUUGGCUUAGAAGCAGCCAUCAUUUAAAGAAAGCGUAAUAGCUCACUGGUCGAGUCGGCCUGCGCGGAAGAUGUAACGGGGCUAAACCAUGCACCGAAGCUGCGGCAGCGAACGUAUCACCCAAGACAACUUUGCGGAGUUGACGAUUGACGGAGCGAAGCGACGUCAAAGCGUUCAUUAAAGUCGAGUUGGCUUAGGGAUACGUUCGUUGGGUAGGGGAGCGUUCUGUAAGCCAGUGAAGGUGUGUCGUGAGGCAUGCUGGAGGUAUCAGAAGUGCGAAUGCUGACAUAAGUAACGAUAAAGCGGGUGAAAAGCCCGCUCGCCGGAAGACCAAGGGUUCCUGUCCAACGUUAAUCGGGGCAGGGUGAGUCGACCCCUAAGGCGAGGCCGAAAGGCGUAGUCGAUGGGAAACGGGUUAAUAUUCCCGUACUUGGUGUUACUGCGAAGGGGGGACGGAGAAGGCUAUGUUGGCCGGGCGACGGUUGUCCCGGUUUAAGCGUGUAGGCUGGUUUUCCAGGCAAAUCCGGAAAAUCAAGGCUGAGGCGUGA
rnacentral:rRNA from 3 species